UUAUUUUACCUUGUUGCUUCGGCGGGCCCGCCUUAACUGGCCGCCGGGGGGCUCACGCCCCCGGGCCCGCGCCCGCCGAAGACACCCUCGAACUCUGUCUGAAGAUUGAAGUCUGAGUGAAAAUAUAAAUUAUUUAAAACUUUCAACAACGGAUCUCUUGGUUCCGGCAUCGAUGAAGAACGCAGCGAAAUGCGAUACGUAAUGUGAAUUGCAAAUUCAGUGAAUCAUCGAGUCUUUGAACGCACAUUGCGCCCCCUGGUAUUCCGGGGGGCAUGCCUGUCCGAGCGUCAUUGCUGCCCUCAAGCCCGGCUUGUGUGUUGGGCCCCGUCCUCCGAUUUCCGGGGGACGGGCCCGAAAGGCAGCGGCGGCACCGCGUCCGGUCCUCGAGCGUAUGGGGCUUUGUCACCCGCUCUGUAGGCCCGGCCGGCGCUUGCCGAUCAACCCAAAUUUUUAUCCAGGUUGACCUCGGAUCAGGUAGGGAUACCCGCUGAACUUAAGCAU
rnacentral:misc_RNA from 1 species